GGUCCACAAAGCGCUGGGGGUCAAAGGUGAACACCCGACGCUUGUCUGCGUAAUCCAGGUCAUUCCACUGCACGUCCUGACCAAAAACAAAAGCAGUUGAACUAAAGAAUGCACAUCUUUACCAGGGGGAAGUUGGCGUUGUGCAUGCGUUGCACCACCUCUCGGGUUGCGUUAGUGGACCGGUAACCCCAGCGACACAGGUGGAACCCCAGUGACCAAUAAGGAGGCAUCAUAGGGUACCCUGGGGGAGGCAGACGGGGUAAACAUUAGCUAUGACGGAAGAUUCACCAAAGGACCUGAGCCCUAGGACCAUGCCUCAGAACUAUCUGGCGUGAUGACUCGUUGCUGUCUCCAGUCCACCUGGCCGUGCUGCUGCUCCAGUUUCAACUGUUCUGCCUGCAGCUAUGGAACCCUGAUGUUACGGUUUUCUAGGUGUGAAGGAGAGUCGGACCAAAAUGCAGCGUGUAGAUUGCGAUCCAUAAUUUAAUAAACAAACGUAACACGAAUCUAAAUACAAACACUACAAAAACAAUAAACGAAUGAAAACCG